AUUAUUACAAAACAAUUUACUUCCACAAUAUCAUAUGUAUUUGGUACUUAUAAAACAACAAUAAUAAUUAAGGUAUAAAUCCACAAGUAAAUGAAAGCAUAAAUGUUUCUUUCAUUGUACAGCAAAAUAGACGUUCAACAAUUAUAUCUUUACAUGCAUUAUACAUUUAGGAAUAUCAUCUUAUGUUGAUAACAUCAUGACCAGCACAAUGUGAUGUUGCAGUAAUGGAAACUAUAAAUUCAUGAAGAAAAGUUUCAUGUGAUGUACUUUUCUAAUGUUUUUAUUUCAAUGAAUUCUUCUUCAGUUUCUCUUGUAUUCAAUAUCAAAUUUAUAGCAUUAAUGAAAAUCAUGCACAGUUUUGCACACCUAUUAAGUUUCUAAGUAUAUAUCUUAAAACUAUAUUGUUAUAAUUAUAUUGAAUGAAAUGAAAUCUAUUGCAACAAAACCAUAAAAAAGUAUUCUAAAAACUUGUUUCAAAGGGAAAAUAAGAGCAUUCAAAUUUGUUUUAGUAAAUGAAAAAUGAGACAUCGCUAAAUUUAAGAAUGAUGGCUGCUUUUUAUUACUAAUAGCCAAAUACCAAUCAGAAACUGUAUUUGUUUGAUCAGAAAAAUUCUUUCCUUCCCAUUUCCACUAUCAUAUAAGUUUAAAUCAUACACAAGUAAAGUAAGAUGUAUGGCUGUCAAUGCCCAAAACUUUCAACCAGAAACCAAUUGUCAGUUUUUUUUCGAUUAUAUUAUAGAAAAGUUUUGCACAUAAAGACAAAUUUCAUGGCAGAGAUACUGAAAUAAGUUUCUCUACAUAAUCGACAAAAAGUCUUUAAAAGAGAAUAUAGCUGGCAAUAGUAUCAAGACAACAGGAAAAUCAUUUCAACUGCAUAAAGAAGGUUAAAGUUAAAACACAGAUAUGUAUGAUUUUUUUACCUCAUCACAAACUUAAAACAAUUAUUAAAGUCAGCCACAAUAGCAGCAAUAUAUGAUGCGUUUAUUUUGAUACAUAUUUUUUGUACCAUUGAUUAAUUUAUUUCUUUGGUUUGUGGCAGGAAAAGAAAUAAGGUUACCUAAUUUUGAGAUUAAUGAUUUGCCUCUUUCAUGACAACUUAAAAUUACUUCUAUGGCAACUAAAAAUCUGUACUUCAAAGUCUUUUCAAAUUCGAUGUUUUGCUCUACCUACGAAACCAUCAAAAAUUUGGUAAAUCACAAAAAUUUAUGAAUCAACAUUGUUUUAGCAGAUCUUAAUUAUUAUUUGACACAAGUGGGUUAUACAAUCAUCAAAUGUAAAUAAGAUGAUGUUAUUUUAUCAUAUAUGUCUGUGUAAUUCUUCACUAAUUGAAGGGGCAAUCUUUUAUGUUGCACCUAUUUGUCCCAAAAAAAAUCAGAUUGUCUUUCAUUAAUAAGAUAUUAAAUUGAAGUGUUCAAGAUCAAAACAUCAUGGAUUUAUUUUCUCCUAAAAUAUUUAAUACCACAAACCAGUUCUGAUCAAGCACCUUAUAUAAUCUUCUGUAGGACUAAGGGGUUCAAGAACAAAGAUAUAAGGAUUAACCUUUGCCAAUAUUUUUUGCUGGUUGACUCCAAAAUUACUCUUCUCUUUGUUCAUGACCUGAUUUUUAUUGAUUUUACUGCAGUGGUAAAUAUCAAAUGAAUAUUCACUUCCAAAAUAUGAAAUGCCCCUUUAAAGUAGCAUUUGCAGAGUAUUUAUGUUUACAUAACAGCAGUAAACUAAAAAAAAAUCAAAAUGUAACACAGCAUGAAAGACAUUUACUCAAAUCCUGUUGUUAUCUAAAAGGAAAUAAUAAAACAAUCUUAAACAAUCUUCACCAGUAAAGAAAAAUAGUCAACAACACAAAAUAUAUAAUUAAUCUACAGUGAGUAAACUUAACAGGUGACAAAAGAAACAGAUCUAUCAUAAUUAGCAAUCAAAAAAACAUACUUUGGACUGAAAAAGACAUUUCAUUGUAGACUAACUAGUCUAUAGUCAGAAAGUAAAAAAAGCAACAAGGCGAAAAAGCAUACAAGGAUAAAAAUAUCUUCUUCAAAAUAACAAAUGAAAAUCUUUUACAUGCUACUAAUUGAAAACCUAUGCAUAUAUAUCAGAUAAUGAAAGCUAAGUUUAUCUAUAAACUUCUUCGUUUACACAGUCUAAGUUUUGUAAAAAUCUCUUUUAAAACAAAGACUCUUGAAGAGGACUCCUAGUAGAUUAUUUCCAUCUUUCAAGUUAAAAUACAAAAAUCAUUUAAAAAAAAUUGUUUUCGACGGGACGACCAUUAACUUUUUUAUUUAUCAUAAUUGACAUAAUUGAUGACACUAAAACUUAUCUUGGGAUCAGUCAGUGACAAAUAUUACAACAAGUGACUUAACAAAAUAUUAUUGUGAAUAGUGCCAGCAAAACUCUAAGACAAGCUAUUUGUAAUUUUUCAUGAUCAAAGUCUUAAAUGGAUUUUGUUUCCUCAAUCCCUACCAUCUUUUGUUUCACUACUCAUUAUAUACAAUACUAGUUGAUUUUUAUAAGGACUUUUGUAAAAUUGAAUUUCAAACUGUAAACACAUUUCCAAUGGAGUGAAGCUGCUACUUUAUUUUAGUAGCUGGAAAUAUCAUGUAUAAUGGGUUUUUUUCUUGUAUGUUUUUUUGUUGUAUAUUUAGAAAAUUGUGUUUGCAUCUAUAAAUGGGAUAUUAGAAGGAAAUAUAAAAUUAUGAGAUAAGUUAAUGCCAUUUCAGUAACUUCUGAAUAUAAAUAAUGCUAUCAAAUCAGAAUUUCAACUUUUAUUCAUGCUGAAGCAUUCAUUGCAAUGUUCACUAUAAUGAAAUUUUGACUAAUGUUCGAAAUUGAUUUAAGAAAAAAUGUUAAUUGUGAUUUUAUUUAAAUCCCCUUAUGGAUAAUUUAUAAACAUGAUAUCUAAUUGCAACCCUAUUUAAAUUCAGUAAGCU
rnacentral:lncRNA from 1 species